ensembl:lncRNA
UUCUGAGUUGUAAAUAUUUGUACAUAUUGGUUGUCUCUUUAAUGAUAUAUAUAUAUCCAGUGCCAGUAAAGUUUCCACCGGCAGAUAAAAGGACAUGCAAGGAAGUGAACAAGGACCUGAACAAGAUGCUCCUAAGAGUCCAGGCAGACAGGUUUCAGGAGACACUUUGACGUUCAGGGCUGUGGUUCCAGACAGCGCUGCUGUGUUCCAGUGCAACCCUUCAAACCAGUACUGCUAUAUCAUGGCCAUUAGCACAGGUUGAUUUGAAGUAUGUACUAUAUACCACAAUAACUGUUCCAUUUUCAUCACUCCAUCCAUCAAACAUUUCUCACUUUGUUUAUUCCUCCUUUAUUUUUGUUAAUCUCUUUUGUCAUUGGACCACUGAAGGUCUCUUGAAAGGUAUGAAUGCCAUACAUAUGCCAUACAUAUGUUAUGCCAUACAUAACAAGUGUUGACAUUUAUUUUUUCUUUUUUUUAUUAAAUUACCUUAUUUGGUUUACAACAGUAAUUAAUACACUACAAGUAUUCCAGUCUAACGAUUGAGCUAUUUUUAAAAGCUUUUACACUAUUGCUCAAAGGUUUGGGAAAUAAAUUUAAUACUUUUAUUCAGUAUGAUGCAUUAAAUUGUUCCAAAAGUGACAGUAAGGAUAUUUAUAAUAAUAAUUUAUUAAAAAUGUUCUAUUUCAAAUAAGUGCUGUUCAGAUCAGAUUUGUUUUUCAAAUCCAAAUCAUGUGAGAGGAAGCCAAGCAAAGAUGUCUUGAUGUGUUUAUCAUGUUGAUAAGACGACGGCUGAUGGAAGCUUGAUUCACUGAACAAGCUUAUAUUCAUUUUAUAAAAUAACAUUCAGGAUCAUUUCACACCAAUUUACUUACACAGACAUAUGAAGAGAUCUUGAGCAUCAAGAACUCCCACAAUGCUUUGUUGUUUAACCAGUGUUUGAUGUCACUGAUUGUUGCUACUAAUUGUUUUUCAAUAGCACUGUUUUUACUUGUAUUUUUGUGUGUUUGCUGUACUGUAGGUCACAUUAAUGGACUACAAAUCAUUUAUUCUCACACAAAAUACAAUCUAACCCUUUGCUUCGUAUUAUAGUAUGAUGUACAUGAUGGUUUUUGUUUUGUUUUUCAGUCUGUUAAGAGUACUAUCAUAAAUGUAGUAGUGCUUCAGUUAUUAAAAUGCAUCAAGUGAAUUAAUGCUUUUGUGGUAACUGAAGUAAAGGUCAUAACAGGUCACAGUGACCAGGGCCUAUCAAGCUCCAAAAAAAAAAAAAAAAAAAAUAUUCAACCGACUGGCUGAGGCCAGCUGUUAAGGCCCAGGUCUAGGUCAGGACCGCAACAAAUGACACAACAACGAAUGGCUGUUUAAGUACUCUUUUAUUCUCCUAGUUGAUCUUUUGAUCAAUCUUUUCGUGCAGUAGCAGUUUUGUAGAGUACAAACAAUAUCAUCACAAAGAAAUAAACAAAUUAAAAGAAACUGAAGAAAGUUAUCAGGGGUGAGCAAAUGCCAAAAACAAACAACACUAACUUCCCAUUAAAGAAACUAACUUCCCUGUGCAUCAAAAUAAAGAAACCAAAAUACAACAAUAUAACCUCACUCCUUAUCUACCCCAAAACAGGAGAAAAAGGUAAUGGCCGAACGGCAUACAGAAAUAAAUAAGGCACUCACCCCCUACGGCCUCACAUGUAGCUUACAAACAAACAAUGGAACAUUGAGGUUCAAGACACAUGUGGCUAACAGCACUCUGAUAAAGUAUAGACUUGAGAUCUAACAGCAUUUUCACUAGAGCUUAACACAAGAGCAAGCAUAAUCAAAGAGAGACACACAGAGCAAGGAUCAUAGCUAGCAUCAAAAAGCAUGGCAGUGAGCACCCUCCAGCGAGAGCUGGGGAAAUUUAUAGUACAGGUCUCGUCUCUGGUCCAACCACUGGCAGUCUCUCAUCUUUAUUGGUAAAGGAUAAGAGUCAGGUUUUGUAAUGGAAUUGACCUUACGGUAAUCUGUGCAGAAUCUAAAAUUCCCAUCGGACUUGGGCACUAGCAGACAUGGUGAGCUCCACGAACUCGAACUUGGCACAGCAAAACCAUGUUCUAGCAAGUACGCAGAUUCUUCCUGCAUUAUUCUUCUUUUGACUGGAUUUACAUGGUAGGAGUUCUGUUUGAUGGGGGAACAACCACCCACAUCAAUGUCAUGCUCCAACACUGUGGUUUCACUGGGCACAUCAAAGAAAAGAGAAGGAAACUUUUCAAUUAGAGCAAUAACAUCAUUUUGAC